rnacentral:rRNA from 1 species
AUGGCUGAAAUGGAAGAUGCGCUGAGAUCCUGCAUGGAGCAGCUGCUCAUUGCCAGAGAAGAGCGGGAGCAAAUCAUCGUGGAAGCAGCCAGCGAGAUAUCCUCCCAGCAAAAGAAGCUGCGUGAACUACAGCACAGCCUCGAAGCCGCGAACAAGAAGGCCGCGAAGCUCGCCGCCGAGAACAACAGCCUCUGCAAGGCCAUGGACGCCAAGGACAAGCUCGUCAGGGAGCUGAGGGAGUCCAAGGCGGCCUCCGACCAGGAGCUCUCCGGCGCGGCGGCGAAGCUGGACGCGGCGCAGAAGCAGAGCGCGUCGCUGCAGUACGAGGCACGCAUGCUCCAGAAGGAGCUGGAGGUGAGGAGCCAGGAGCGGGAGUACGACCUCAGGUCCGUGGAUGCCGCCCGCGCGCAGCAGGCGGAGAGCCUGAAGAAGAUCGCGCAGCUGGAGGGCGAGUGCCAGCGGCUGCGCGCCAUGGUCCGGAAGCGCCUCCCCGGGCCGGCCGCCUUGGCCAAGAUGAGGGACGAGGUCGAGCCGCAGCAGCAGCCGCCGCCGUCCAGGGCCGGGGCCAGCCCGAGGCGGCCGCGCUCCGUGACGCCGACAGUGUCGCCGCGUUCGGUGACGCCGACGAUGUCGCCGCGGCCCGUGACGCCGCGGCGCGCUCCGGAGCCUGAUCAUGGCUACGCCGUCAGGCUGCGCGCGAUCGAGGACGAGAACAACGUUCUGAAGCGGAUGCUGGCGGCGAGAGACACCGAGCUGCAGUUCACGCAGACGAAGUACGCGGAGGAGGCCAGCAAGCUCUCGGCGGUGCAGGGGCAGCUCAAGGAGCUGACGGAGGAGAGCAAGCGGCUGAGCGAUGCACACGCCAAGUCCGAGACGUGGGCCACUGCUCUGGUGUCUGAACUGGACCAGCUCAGGGCUGGGAAGCAGGGACAUGGAGCAUCGUCCGUCAUGGUGUCCGACAUGAGCUUGCUCGACGACUUCGCCGAGAUCGAGAGGAUGGAGAUGGAGUCAGGGGAUCAUCACACAUCAGGACAUUCGGGAUCCGUCGUGCCCGACAAGAACGGCGAGAGCCCGGUCCUAGAACAUGGUCAUCCUGAAUGGCUGCAGGAUGUUUGGAAACUCGUUACAAGUAACCAUGAAGCAACCGGAGAAAGCAUCGACGCCAUUGUUGAUGGAGUAAGGCGUGCAUUGGACGAGGGCCCUGUUCGUGGGAACGGAGAUGCUUCUGAUCUACUGUAUGACCGGGCCAAAGUGGAGGAACUGAUCGGCAAUCUGAUCGACAAAAUCACGUCCACGAUCCGCGUUUCGGCAGAAGACGAUGCUGCAAGAUCUGAAUCUUUGUUGUAUGCCAAGCCUGAACUCUGUGCUCGGCUCGAGUACCUGGUUCAUGUUUGCCAUGAUGUGCUACAGAGGAAAGCCAGGCUUGAAGAUUUUAUCGACGAGGUUUGCCUGGUACUGGAGUAUAUAAUGAGCAUAUACUUCUCGAACCAAGUUCGAUCGGACACCGUGGACGGUAACGAAAAUGACUUUCAUGCACAUGUUGAACCUGACGUGCAAAGUGCAACAUCAGCAGCAACAGCAUUGGAUAUCCAAACUGAAGCACAAAAGGAACAGAUUCAGCCACCUGAAUGUCAGCACCCUGAAAAAAUUCAAGCAAUGGUCAUGCUGGAUCAGAAUGAUGAUAUCCAACUGGGGAGGAAGUCGUCAUACUAUGAGAUAGAAAGUCUCACUGCUGAUGGAAUGGGAGAAGACUUGGCACAAAAGGAGGCGAAACAACUAGCAACGGACUCAGAGAUAUCUGCAGCAGCUGACAAACUUGCAGAGUGCCAGGAGACCAUCACGAACCUAAGCAAACAAUUGCAGGCUCUCCAGACUCCGCCGAGUUCAGGCCCUCCAGACAUCUCAACGCACAGCCCGCGGCCGAGCUCGGCUGACUACAAGCCCCAGUCACUUGGAAGCAUCCUUGCCGACGAGGGCGCCAGCACAGCCGAGGGUCAGAACUCUCCCGAGAAAGAACAUGGCGAGCCUGACGACGCGGCAGCACGAAAGAGCACGGCACAAGAGCAGAUUCCUGACGCCGACGGGAAGGCGUCAGCGGCGCAAGCCGUUGUUCAGCCGUUGGUCAAGGAGCAUGAGGCUGCUGCUGAUCCUCGGAAGAAGAAGCGGGGUCCGGGCUUGCUGGGCAGGAUGAUCUUCAGGAAAAGAGUGGAGGGCAGGUCCUCCUAG